CGAGGCAGAAAUGCGUAGUCGAUGGGAAACAGGUUAAUAUUCCUGUACUGGUGAUAAUUGCGAUGGGGGGACGGAGAAGGCUAGGCUGGCCGGGCGACGGUUGUCCCGGUUUAAGGAUGUAGGUGGGCGAAUUAGGCAAAUCCGGUUCGCUAUACACUGAGGUCUGAUGACGAGUCACUACGGUGGCGAAGUAGCUCAUGCCCCGCUUCCAGGAAAAGCCUCUAAGCUCUAGAUUAUCAUUAAUCGUACCCCAAACCGACACAGGUGGUCAGGUAGAGAAUACUCAGGCGCUUGAGAGAACUCGGGUGAAGGAACUAGGCAAAAUGGUGCCGUAACUUCGGGAGAAGGCACGCUGGCACUAGGUGAAGUGGUUUACCCAUGGAGCUGAAGCCAGUCGCAGAUACCAGCUGGCUGCAACUGUUUAUUAAAAACACAGCACUGUGCAAACACGAAAGUGGACGUAUACGGUGUGACGCCUGCCCGGUGCUGGAAGGUUAAUUGAUGGGGUUAUCCGUAAGGAGAAGCUCUUGAUCGAAGCCCCAGUAAACGGCGGCCGUAACUAUAACGGUCCUAAGGUAGCGAAAUUCCUUGUCGGGUAAGUUCCGACCUGCACGAAUGGCGUAAUGAUGGCCAGGCUGUCUCCACCCGAGACUCAGUGAAAUUGAACUCGCUGUGAAGAUGCAGUGUACCCGCGGCAAGACGGAAAGACCCCGUGAACCUUUACUAUAGCUUGACACUGAACAUUGAGCCUUGAUGUGUAGGAUAGGUGGGAGGCUUUGAAGUGUGGACGCCAGUCUGCAUGGAGCCAACCUUGAAAUACCACCCUUUAAUGUUUGAUGUUCUAACGU
rnacentral:rRNA from 1 species